rnacentral:lncRNA from 1 species
GAAACGCCUUCCUUCAGUAAGCAGAGUGCUUGAGUGCACCCCAUUUGACCUGCUGAUAUGUAGAUCACAACACCUGAUGCUUCCUGGAAUUGCCGAUUACUGUAACUGCUGCCCAUCUGUCGAUGAAGGAGCAGUUUCAGAACUCAGACUUGAGGGAGGAAAAGUAAUUAAUGGAAGUUAUAGAACUAACCAAAGACCUUCUGUCAACUCAACCUUCUGAGACGCUUGCAAGUUCAGACAGUUUUGCUUCUACUCAACCUACUCAUUCAUGGAAAGUAGGAGACAAG